AAGAAAACCCUACUUAAAAAUCUGCCACGCGGCUGAAAACUGAAAACAACGAAAAUGUGAAUGCCACCCGCUGUAUCCAUUGGUCAAAUCAUAUAAAUUCAAUCCAUACCAUAUGUAUGUUCACAUUCACUGAUUCAUUUCUUUAAACACCAAUAAAGUCCCUCACUCUUGCUUCUCAAAAAAAAAAAAAAAAAAAAUCCCUCACUAUCGAUUAAAAGCAGAUACCUUCACUGAUACGAGUAAACCUUUCAAAAUCUCAGAAAUCUUCACUCAACCCUACCUCUAACCAUCACCUAUUUUUCAUUCCCAAAAGACUGCCUCUCAUGCCAUUUACAAGGUUUAGCCCGUCGGACCUGCUAUUGGGUCAAACGGCAGCAAAGAGAGUAGGAAAAAAAAUUUUAAACAAAGAAGGUACAGGCAAUAGAGAGAGGCUUUGGUUGAACUUUGAAGUUCAUGGAGAAGACAAUAGGUUUUUAUUUUUAUUUUUUUUAAUGUGUUAUGAAAUUUAGUCUCUUUGUCUCUAUUUCUCUCCCAUUAUUUUAUAUUGUUCAAAAAAUUUAUCACGCUCUUUGUUCAGUUCAAAUUUUUCGAUAUCAUUUUUUUUCUCUAUGCAAAUGUUAAUGCUUUGUUAUUCACUGGAAUUGGUAUGAAAUUUAGUCUCUUUGUCUCUAUUUCUCUCCCAUUAUUUUUUAUUGUUCAAAAAAUUUAUCAUGCUCUUUGUUUAGUUCUAAUUUUUUGAUAUCAUUUUUUUUUUCUUUGUGCAAAUGUUAAUGCUUUGUUAUUCACUGGAAUUGUUUUAGGGACCCAUGAAAUAUCUCUAGUCUACAAUUCAAAUAUUAUCAGUUCUAGAUCUCUUGCAGAUAGCAAAAGAUUUCACAUCUUACCCUUUUUCAUAACCUUCACAAAUCCAAAGUCGAAACAGAACAACAUUUUGGCCAAACUUCUACUUCUCUUAUUGUGUUUGCUGUGUUUAUAUUCAAUUGCUACUCUUAUUGAUUUCUUCUAAAGAAAAACCCAUACAAUAUAUCCCCUGUUGUUUAAAUCAGUUCUGGUUAAUUAGUUUGAAUGCAAUACUGAAAAUGUUCGCCUCAAUAGAAGAAACAGGAAUAUACAAAUAUUAAAUUUGUCUAUAAUUUAAUGCCAAUCUCUCUUUCUCCUUGGAAGACUGACAAUUCGGGGUUUUCUUUUUCAGGGCACUAUAAUUUUUCUCUAUCCUGAAAGACUAUUUAUUGUUUUUCUAUUUGAAUGAAUGCUUGAAUGUGUGACGAAACCCAAAUAACCAAAUAUUUAUUACAAGUUUGGGUAUCUUAAUUUUGGAACUCUGUGCAUCCAUCUUAAUUUCACUAAUUUUUGCAUAUAAGCUCAGGCUGCUGUUCUUCCUAUUAAAUAAGUAGUGUUGUACUCAAAGUCGUUGGUUUGUAAGUGAAUGGUUUGAUUCAAGUGCUAAUUUGAAGAUUUUACAGAUUAAGGUAGAUCAAGAUGUUUUUUCAUACUUAGGUGUGGGUAGACUCAGGUUUGAAUUGGUUUUUGUUCUAGAUUCAAUUGACCUAUAACACUAUUAUGAUUCCAUUAAUCUUCUUCUGGUAGCCAAAUAGAUAGUUAGAGUUCUCCGUGAUUUUUUUUUUGUCUGCUAUGUUUUGUAGUCAAGUUGGCUUAUUUGUGUGUUUGUGAGGUUUUCCAAUUCAGUCUAACUCAAUGAUUACAUUAUCUUGCUUUUAAGGGUUUUGAGUUCUAUUAGUGAUUAUUCUGUAAUUGUUGAAAAUGCAUGAUUUAUGUUUUACGAAAAAAAUGUAGUAAUUCCCACACAUGAAGUGCUAUUUAUACCUACAGUUAACAUGUCUAGAAGUUCACAUUACAACUACAAUUACAAAACACAGAAGACAACACUUUAUGAGCUUAUGAUUGCCAAAUGCUAUAAUUACGAUCUUCAAUUUAAUUAUAGCUAUUGGAUUACCAUAUUUUGAACUCUUCAUUUUGGUACAUCUAAAUAUGGUAGAGAUCAUUUUCAAUUCUUAAGACUCAAAUUGGUUAGUGACUUAUCAUGUUUUAAUUAGAAAAAAAGCUUUGGCUUCCCAUCUGCCACUAGUCUUUGAAAUUUUGUAGCACAUUUCUAGGAGUCAAUAUGAAGGGAAAUGGAAAAUAAGUAGGGCUCAUCGUCAAUUUACUUUGGGAGUUAUAUCUCGGAAAGCCUUUUAAUUCUCCAUUAUUGGGGAAUUUUGCCAGUUGAAAAUAUUUCUGCUUUAAUGUUUUUAAAAAAAUUAAAAAAUUUGGCGCAGUCUCUUUAGAGAACCUUUAAAUCCUCCAUUAUUGGUGAGAUUUGUAUAUUGAACAUAUAUGUGUUUUACUGAGGUUAAAAAAAAGGUUAAUUGAUGCAUUUUCUUAGAGAUUAUUAUUAUUGUAAAUGUUUAAAUGUAAAAGAGCAUGAACAUUGUCUGAACCCGACUGAAUUGUUACAGCAAUGCUAACUAUUGUUGGUCAAAUUUUAGGCAUUUGGGUUAGAUUUUGUUUUGAUCAAUUAAAGGAUUAGAUUUGGUUUAUGGCUAGGGUAUAUGUGUUGCUUUGGUUUGGUUUUGGAUUUUCGAGUUGAAAUUGUUUUGGGUAAUUUGUGGAUUACAAAGCAGAGAGUAUUUUCGGUCUCUUCAAUUUCUUUACGCUUCCUGAAUGAGCAUUCCUGGCAAAGAGUUUCCAAUUUGUUCAUUCAACAUUUAUCAAGUACAAAUUUACAUUUAUUUAACUCUCUCUUGGAUUCAAUUGUAGAUUUCAUUUGUGAUUGAUUGGUUUCAAUUUCAAAUCUGUGUAAUAAAAGACCAAAAGUCAAAAGACCAAAAGUUGAAGGGAUUGUACAACUGAAGUUAUUUCCACCCAAGUACAAUUCAACAAGGCUACUCAUGUUUCCCAAUUGUAAGGGAAUUGGACCGCUCAUUGUUUUGAAAGAAAUAUCAAGCUUCUCUAAUUGAGUGAAUUUUGCAAGUGAGAGAGGUGGUUCACCCGAAAGACUAUUCCAAGAUAAGGUAAGUGAGUUUAGAAACACUACCAAUCUCUGGCGAGAUGCUCCCAUAUAGCCCCAUUCCUGCUAGCUUGAAUCGGACCAAAUUUGGGAAUGAAGAGAAGUUGCAGUUGAAAUUGUGUAACUUGCCAUUCUCAUACCAAAUGGUAUCGUCUAAGUUGAUCUCUAUCAUGCUUCCACCAUCAUUGCAAACGAUACCAGCCCACUUGCAAGGACUUGAGGUGCUUUCUGCAUACUGCCAGCUCCACGACCACAUAGUCUGGUUCAGAGCCCUUGCUUCUUGGGCUAGUGGCGGUGACUGAGGUUUUUUAACCGUAGAAGUAUUUGCGCUACCCACAUGGUUUAUGAUUACGAUAGUAGUAAUCCAAUAUUUGGUGGAUAAUUGAUGAUCGUUUUAGUUCAAUACAAUUUUACUAAGCAAAAUAAUUGAUUAUUCCGAUUGCAAA